rnacentral:rRNA from 1 species
AUGAACGCUGGCGGCGUGCCUAAUACAUGCAAGUCGAGCGAACAGACGAGGAGCUUGCUCCUCUGACGUUAUCGGCGGACGGGUGAGUAACACGUGGAUAACCUACCUAUAAGACUGGGAUAACAUCGGGAAACCGGAGCUAAUACCGGAUAAUAUAUUGAACCGCAUGGUUCAAUAGUGAAAGACGGUUUUGCUGUCACUUAUAGAUGGAUCCGCGCCGCAUUAGCUAGUUGGUAAGGUAACGGCUUACCAAGGCAACGAUGCGUAGCCGACCUGAGAGGGGGACCGGCCCCACGGGAACUGGGCCACGGGCCGGAUUCCUACGGGAGGAAGCAGUAGGGAAUCUUCCGCAAUGGGCGAAAGCCUGACGGAGCAACGCCGCGUGGGGAAUGAAGGUCUUCGGAUCGUAAAACUCUGUUAUUAGGGAAGAACAAAUGUGUAAGUAACUAUGCACGGCUUGACGGUACCUAAUCAGAAAGCCACGGCUAACUACGUG